CGAAGAAACAUACACGUGUUGAUUGUCGGGUGGUCGUCAAUCAAAGUAAAUUGAAUUAUCAACCAAUGCAUCCAGCAUUUGUUGCCAUAUGCCACAUAUAGAAAAAGGCGAGAUUGUGAGCGGGUCAGUGUCUACACAGCCUGAAAAACCAACACCAAAUCUAGAAACACCAUCUUCACUACCAGAAACACCAUCUAAAAUUGAAGCGAGAGUGAGUCAGUAGCAGCACCUCCAGCUAAACGCCGCAAGGUUGCAAGAGGACACAAAAUUGGAUUCGAUCCAGGGUGGCAGAAAGGUCGACCCUGGAUAAUCCACAAAAUAGGGGAAACUAACGAUGGAAAUGUCUCUGUGUUAUUGUGUAAAUUGUGAAAUAGUUCAAUUCCAAUGGACUGAAUGGAUCUUGGACCUGGUUUGAUACCGGUUACAGAACAAUGAGGAUUGACAAAGUAAAGGAUCAUGAGAACAGCUCUCAACACAAGAAUGCUCUAAGUUUAAGUUUGAUGAAACGGUAUCCUACCGAUGAUAAGGUGAAUAGUCCGGCACAGACAGCUAUAUUGGAUGCUUUAAAAUUUUUCAAUUCAUUAUUGUGAAAAAUCUGCCACUCAGUCUCUUUGCAGAUCUGACUGAUCUGUGCAUUCAAGUUGGUUUAGCGUCUCUUAAGAAUCUACGUCUGGCUAAGAAUUCUAGCUAUACCAGUUGGGACAUUAUGCAGAACUUACACCGAGGUCCAUGAAGAUCUUAAGUCCGUCGUUGGUGCCAGCCCCUGCUUUGCUACCAUGGUAGACGAAGAAUGUGAUCUGUCAAAUGAAAAAUACAUGGCUAUGUGUUGUAACUAUAUCAAUGACUCUGGUGAACUAAAAACAACGUUCCAAUGUGACACCGCACUGAAGUCUGCCACUACUGACGCCAUCACAGAGAAGAUCUAACAGCAGAUUAAGAUCAUUAUCUUUCAAUGAGCAAAAUGACUGGGUUCGCGUCUGAUGGUGCAGCAGUCUUCACUAGCAAGAACACGGGUGUUGCAAAACAGCUGAAGGAUCAACAACCGUGUCUGGUAACUGUCCAUUGUAAGGACUACAGGUUAGCGUUGGCGUGCCGUGACAGCUCUCAGAAAGUGCCUACCGCAGCCUCAUUGUGGACCCGGAGUCCAACACCAUUUCUGAAUACCCUGUAGGCCAUGGUACCGGUAUCCUGAAACUGUUGAAAAAUCCUGUGAACCUUCAUAUCCUUCUCUUACUGGUAGUCAUCCUUCCACAUCUUGCUGCUCUUAGUUGCUUCUUCCAGAAAGAAGGAAUAAACCUGGGCAUGGCGGAGGCUAAUGUGAACAAGACUCUGCGCAUCCUAGAAAAGAGGAAAGUAGAGAAUGGUACGUGGUUAGCCCAGGCAGCUUCGAUCAUGUCUGAAUGUAAAAUAUCAUGUGACAGUGAUGCUAUCAACUCUUUCUCCAAGGCAUGCAUUGAUUUUUUGUCAGGUCUAACUGAAAACAUAACUCGCAGAUUCACUGACUGUGAUAUUAUGGAGGCAAUUGUCUGUCGUUGACCUAUAUCACCUGCAGGACAUACCGUCAUUUCAUGGAACUACUGAGAUGGACUUGUUAGCAGACAAGUACAUGAUGAAUGGUGUUGACCUUCAGACACAGUGGCAAGGAUCCACUGAGCUUCUGACCACUACAUCUGCUCAGAGCAGGAGCCUGCGACACCUUGCUGAGCUGUUCCACGGAAAACAACAUCUUGACAAGGGUCUGUCCACUUCCUACCCACUUGGUAGGAGUUGCUCUCACACUCCCUCUCAGCACUGCAGCGGUAGAACGAGUCUUCUCAUCCCUGAAAUUGAUAAAGACUGACCACCGGUGUCUACUGACACCACAAACCCUAAACAUGCUUCUAAAUGUAAAGUUAAAUUGUUUGAGUGAAACCUUUGAAAAUUUUAGACCUAAAGUAUAGUGGCCAACUUCUUAAAAAAAAGACAGACGUCUGGUGUCCGUAAUUUCUUCCUACUUGAAAAAAAAACAAAGCUGUUAGAAAAUCAUCUGAACAUGGAACUUUGUACAUUGUAAUUGAAUGGUUAUUACUUUCUAUAUGACUAGCUGGAACACUGAAAUGUCACAAUUAGAAAAUAAUAUUCAGGAAUGUUAGCUCUGCCUGAAACUUAUAAGUGUAACUUUGUGCAUGUACAUUGUGAAAUUGAAAUAAUGCUUAGGAAUGUUAUAUGUAACUUGAAAUUUAUUACUGUAACUUUGUACAUUGUGAAAUUGAGAUAAUGCUUAGGAAUGUCAUAUGAAAUUUAAAAUUUAUUACUGUAAAUUUGUACAUUGUGAAAUUGAGAUAAUGCUUAGGAAUGAAUGUCAUAUGAAAUUUAAAAUUUAUUACUGUAAAUUUGUACAUUGUGAAAUUGAGAUAAUGCUUAGGAAUGUCAUAUGAAAUUUAAAAUUUAUUACUGUAAAUUUGUACAUUGUGAAAUUGAGAUAAUGCUUAGGAAUGUCAUAUGAAAUUUAAAAUUUAUUGUUGUAACUUUGUACAUCGUGAAAUUGAAAUAUUGCUUAGGAAUGUCAUAUGAAAUUUAAAAUUUAUUGCUGUAACUUUGUACAUCGUGAAAUUGAAAUAUUGCUUAGGAAUGUCAUAUGAAAUUUAAAAUUUAUUGCUGUAACUUUGUACAUCGUCAAAUUGAAAUAUUGCUUAGGAAUGUUUUAUGAAACUUACAUUGUGAAAUUGAAAUAAUGCUUAGUAGUGCUUAGGAAUUUUUUAAAAGAAUUAGAGUUAAACAUAAUUAUAGUUCCAAUACUGCUUGAUUUCUUAAAAUACUAGUCAGUCCCAAUGUAGUUUUCAAACAUCAUUAACUUGUAUAGUUGAUACAAAUUCAGGUUAUUUUGAAUUAAAAGAAAAACAAUAUUUGCAGCCAAGAAACACACUAGAUGUCUAUUUGAUGUCCAAUUUUUCAAAAAUUUCUUUGGGGAGUUCCCCUCCCCACAGUUUGAGGGGAAUACCGCCUCCCACACCCUCCUCCACUCACAGCUUCGCGGCUUGAAGUGCCCUGUUUUAUCUUCCAACAUGCCCUUCUCAAAUCCUAGCUGGAAAACUGAAAAUAAUAUUACAUUUGUCACAUUCCACAUUGAAUAUAUUAAACUCUCGGCACAGCCUUUAUUUCAUUCAUCUCGUUUAAUAAAUUCAGUAUUAAAAGGCACUCAUGUAAUACCCUCUAUAUAUUACAUUACGGCUUUUACAAAUAAAUGAAGUAAUUCAAUUUUUUAUUACUCAUCGAAAAUUUCCGAUAGGACGAGGCUUUAAAGAGAAUUCCUAUAGUUUUUUUCCUUUCAUAGAUUUUUUUCAAAAUCACAUAUAAAAUAGGAAAAUUUGUGCUAAAAACAAUGAACAAAUAAAAACA
rnacentral:lncRNA from 1 species